rnacentral:rRNA from 1 species
AGUGAACGCUGGCGGUAGGCCUAACACAUGCAAGUCGAACGGCAGCACAGUAAGAGCUUGCUCUUACGGGUGGCGAGUGGCGGACGGGUGAGGAAUACAUCGGAAUCUACUUUUUCGUGGGGGAUAACGUAGGGAAACUUACGCUACUACCGCAUACGACCUACGGGUGAAAGCAGGGGAUCUUCGGACCUUGCGCGAUUGAAUGAGCCGAUGUCGGAUUAGCUAGUUGGCGGGGUAAAGGCCCACCAAGGCGACGAUCCGUAGCUGGUCUGAGAGGAUGAUCAGCCACACUGGAACUGAGACACGGACCAGACUCCUACGGGAGGCAGCAGUGGGGAAUAUUGGACAAUGGGCGCAAGCCUGAUCCAGCCAUACCGCGUGGGUGAAGAAGGCCUUCGGGUUGUAAAGCCCUUUUGUUGGGAAAGAAAAGCAGCAGGUUAAUACCCCGCUGUUCUGACGGUACCCAAAGAAUAAGCACCGGCUAACUUCGUG